CCGCGGGAUUAGAGUUUGAUCCUGGCUCAGGACGAACGCUGGCGGCGCGCUUAACACAUGCAAGUCGAGCGAGAACCAGGCCUUCGGGCCUGGGGAAAGCGGCGAACGGGUGAGUAACACGUGGGUAACCCACCCUUGGUACCGGGAUAGCCCGAGGAAACUCGGAUUAAUACCGGAUGGCCCAACAGCUUCUCGGAGCGGUUGGAAAAGGUAGCUUCGGCCUCCGACCAAGGACGGGCCCGCGGUGGAUUAGCUUGUUGGUGAGGUAACGGCUCACCAAGGCUUCGAUCCAUAGCUGGUCUGAGAGGACGAUCAGCCACACUGGGACUGAGACACGGCCCAGACUCCUACGGGAGGCAGCAGUGGGGAAUCUUGCGCAAUGGGCGAAAGCCUGACGCAGCGACGCCGCGUGGGGGAAGAAGGCUUUCGGGUUGUAAACCCCUUUCAGGAAGGACGAAGCCACUCGGGUUAAUAGCCCAGAGGGUGACGGUACUUCCAGAAGAAGCCCCGGCUAACUACGUGCCAGCAGCCGCGGUAAUACGUAGGGGGCAAGCGUUGUCCGGAUUUAUUGGGCGUAAAGAGCGUGUAGGCGGUCAGGUAGGUCCGUUGUGAAAACUCGAGGCUCAACCUCGAGACGCCGAUGGAAACCAUCUGACUAGAGUCCGGAAGAGGAGAGUGGAAUUCCUGGUGUAGCGGUGAAAUGCGCAGAUAUCAGGAAGAACACCCGUGGCUAAGGCGGCUCUCUAGUACGGUACUGACGCUGAGACGCGAAAGCGUGGGGAGCGAACAGGAUUAGAUACCCUGGUAGUC
rnacentral:rRNA from 1 species